CACCAGAAAUAAACUCCAAGCGACUUGUGCUACCUGUCAGGUGAGAUGAACUACAGAUGGUCUACAGUGGGGAAUAUCCUUUGUGCUGUGCUUCUUUUUCAUUGGAAAUCUCACAGCAGGAACCUGAGAUAGGAGGCGAAACCUGCCUGAUCCAUAAUGUAUAGAAUUCUCUUUACUUGGAAACCACUCACUGCAGCUGAGGAUGGGUCCACAUAAACAACACAAGAACCAUAAGGAUAGACUUGGACUACAGUGGACCCUGUAUUGGCCUCUGUAUCAGAAGGUCACAGGUUCAACCACCAAGAUGCCACUUCUUGGCCGUUAAGAAAGGCCCUUGACACUCAACUGCUUAGUUGUAAAUCACUCUGGAUAAUGUCAUCUGCCAAAUGGCAUAAAUGUAAAUAUAAAGAAUCUGCUACAAUGGUUUAGAACUGCAUCUGCUACGAACAGUUUUGCACUCACUAUAAUGAAUGGAUGUCUGGAUGUCUCCUAAAUAAAGAUGGAUUUCCUUCAGA